CUUGUGCUUUUUCUCAUACAAAAUUGGCCAACAUAGAUAGAAGUAUCUUCUUAUGGAGGGAUAAAUCGUACUUUGUACAAAAUCCCUCUGAUUCAAACAAAAAGUUCUCUGAAACUGACACGAAUUUAUUGACAACAGAUUUGGUUCGUUUUGAGGACGGGUUUUACAAUAAACAUUAGGCAUUCCCAUAAUAACCAACUGUGCUACUCUUCUUGCCGACUUAUUCCUUAUUUUUCAUCUGAGUUCACUUCUUACAGGAGAUUCCAGCAGCGACUGCAUAUAGAGUAUGUAUAUCCCAGUCGAUGUGGUAUUCCAGGGCUUGCAUUUCCCAUCAUUAUUUCUUUGAUAGAGGUUUGCUGCUUACAAUGAAGCUAUCGAACCAAGAGUUCUAAGUGGUGAAGGCGAAAUCAUCCCUUCAUAAGUUGACCGUGUUACUGAUGGAACAGGAUGAGUUUGAAUAUCUUUUAUCUCUCUUUUAAAAGGAACAUGAUC
rnacentral:lncRNA from 1 species